rnacentral:misc_RNA from 1 species
UUUUUAACCGACUUCCAAAAAAGGAGGAGGUUCUCAAUUCGACUGUAUUUUUUUUUUUUUUUUUUUUUUUUUUGUAUGUUACAUCAGAACUUUUGACCGGGUGGACCGAUUUCGACAAAUUUUGUUUUAAUCGAAAGGUGGUGUGUGUCAAUUGGUCCCAUUUAAAUUUAUUUGAGAUCUAACGACUACUUUUCGAGUUAUAUCAAAUAAUGCGUUUUUACUUGACGCUUUUUUCGUCGACCUACGUUGUAUUAUACCGCAUAACUUUCUACUGGAUGUACCGAUUUUGACAAUUCUUUUUUUGUUGGAAAGGAGAUAUCCCUAGUUUAGUUCCAUGAUAAGGAAACCAGGAUCUGAUGAUGGGAUCCCAGAGAAAUCGAGGGAAACUCUCGA